rnacentral:rRNA from 1 species
GAUACCCUAUUAUUGAAAAUGUAAAAUAUAAUGCUUGAGUAGUAUUAGUUAUGUUCUUGAAAUUCAAAGAAUCUGGCGGUAUUUUAGUCUAUUCAGAGGAACCUGUCCUAUAAUCGAUAAUCCACGAUUAAUUGUACUUAUUUUUAGUUUGUAUAUCGUCGUAGUUUGAAUGUUUUUAAAAAAAAUGGAAUAUUCAAGAUUUAGUAUGUUUAAAAGAAAUCAGAUCAAGAUACAGCGUAUAAAUAAGAAGAGAUGGGUUACAAUAAAUUUAUUUUUGGUUAGAAUAAUUAAAAUUAUUUUAUAAAUUGGAUUUGAUAGUAAUAUAAUUAAGUUAAAUUAUAUGAUUUUAGCUCUAAAAUAUGUACAUAUCGCCCGUCGCUCCUUCUAUAAAGAAGGAUAAGUC